rnacentral:rRNA from 1 species
AACUUUUAACAACGGAUCUCUUGGUUCUGGCAUCGAUGAAGAACGCAGCGAAAUGCGAUAAGUAAUGUGAAUUGCAGAAUUCAGUGAAUCAUCGAAUCUUUGAACGCACAUUGCGCCCCCUGGUAUUCCGGGGGGCAUGCCCGUUCGAGCGUC